rnacentral:rRNA from 1 species
UGGAAGUAAAAGUUCGUAACAAGGUCUCCGUUGGUGAACCAGCGGAGGGAUCAUUACCGAGUUUACAACUCCCAAACCCAAUGUGAACGUUACCAAACUGUUGCCUCGGCGGGAUCUCUGCCCCGGGUGCGUCGCAGCCCCGGACCAAGGCGCCCGCCGGAGGACCAACCAAAACUCUUAUUGUAUACCCCCUCGCGGGUUUUUUUUAUAAUCUGAGCCUUCUCGGCGCCUCUCGUAGGCGUUUCGAAAAUGAAUCAAAACUUUCAACAACGGAUCUCUUGGUUCUGGCAUCGAUGAAGAACGCAGCGAAAUGCGAUAAGUAAUGUGAAUUGCAGAAUUCAGUGAAUCAUCGAAUCUUUGAACGCACAUUGCGCCCGCCAGUAUUCUGGCGGGCAUGCCUGUCCGAGCGUCAUUUCAACCCUCGAACCCCUCCGGGGGGUCGGCGUUGGGGAUCGGCCCUCCCUUAGCGGGUGGCCGUCUCCGAAAUACAGUGGCGGUCUCGCCGCAGCCUCUCCUGCGCAGUAGUUUGCACACUCGCAUCGGGAGCGCGGCGCGUCCACAGCCGUUAAACACCCAACUUCUGAAAUGUUGACCUCGGAUCAGGUAGGAAUACCCGCUGAACUUAAGCAUAUCAAUAAGCGGAGGA